AAUUCAUUAUAGCUUGUCAUUGUGCAAUGGUCUGUCUUUACUAAAGUGAGCUCCGCGUCCUCGACGAGCUAUCUGUAAUUGGUUCGCCGACUUAGCGUAAUUAAACGUGACGCCGACCGGAAGUCGCCCCGAUUUUAAACACUUGGGAUUGCGCCGCCCGGCUCCUCCUUGUGGACACAAUGAGCGCCGAAAGGGGAGACUUUACGGCCAAACUUGACAGCUAGUCCGGCGUUAGCCGACUGCGACACCACACGAGCUAGCUAUCUUGCUAUGCCGAGCUAAGCUAAGCUAGCUCACCGAGGCGUCUGGCUUCGGGACUUGGACGCCCGCGUACAGACAGGGGCGCUCCCCAGUCACCCCCAUGCUCCUCCAAUGAAACCCCUCAACUCCAUGAAACGAGCCCCGCAUCCCACUCCUCAAAGCGGUGACGGAGCCUUCCUCCAUGAGCCAGUCUCCUGGCAACCAGCAGCCAAUCAACACGCAGGAUCUCUCUCUGUAGUAACCACAGUGUGGGGCGUGACCAAUCCCACGCACAGCCAGGUAAUCGGAGCGCCACCCAUGGGUCCUGGUGACAGCACUGGUGGUCACAUGAUGCCCGGCGGUGGCGGAGGCGGCGGCCCCGGCAUGGCUGGUGCCAUGGGGCCGCAGUUCAUGAGCCAGCAGGGGUACGGCGACGCCAUAUCCAAAGGUUACGGCCAGCCGCUCAUGUAUGGCCGCCCCAAUGCAGGGUAUAACCCUGCAGCGACCUACGGCAGCAGUUACUCGGGUAACAGCGGUGGGAUGGGUGUGCGCCCCCCCUCAGACUUCACCACCGCCGCCGCCGCCGCUGUGGCCGCCGCUACAGCUACCGCCACUGCCACCGCAACCGUGGCGGCCAUACAAGAGAAACAGCACCAGGACAUUAGCUACGCGCAGAUGGGCGGACCCUCCUCGUACAGCCCCCAGUUCAUGUCACACGGGGGCCCUCGUGGACCCCCGGCCAUGAACCAAGGAGGUAUGGUCUCAAGCAGGUCGGGACUGGUGCCACCCUCUGGCGGGGGCUUGUACCCCUCUCACCCUGGACAUACACAGAAGAUGCACGGCGGAGGAGGAGCAGGCGGGGGAUAUCCUGGUGGAACGCAGGGACUCAAACGCACUUUCCACUCUGAGUUCGGCGGCAACGGCGGUGGGAUGUCGUCCAUGUCAGCGUAUCCUCAACAGCCUCUGCAGUACCCCCCCGGACCGCCGCAAAGGUGCGCCCCCUCGCCCUCGUACUCUGCCGGCCGUAUGCCCCCCAUGGGCCAGUACGCCUCUGGGUCACACAGCAACCCGCCGCCGUUCCCCGCCGGCGCCGGACAGCCCAACCCACCGCAGUACUACAAGUCUGAAGUGUUUAAUGGGCAGACAGGACUGCCCCCUGCAGGCCCAGGAGGAUACAACGCCUUCACUCAAGCAGCGGCCAGCGGGCCCGGGCGGGGCGGAGGAAUGCCCGUGUACCCCAGCUCCCCCAUGGGCGGCAAUCCCACACCUCCCAUGACACCUGGCACCUCCAUGCCGCCUUACCUCUCCCCAGGCCAGGAGACCAAAUCUCCCUACAUGCCACCCGAUGUAAAAAGCAACAUGGGUGGCCCGCAGACUGCCACAGGUAACCCUAGUGACGAUCUGCGCCUGACCUUCCCGGUGCGUGACGGCGUGGUUUUGGAGCCUUUCAGACUGGAGCACAACUUGGCGGUCAGUAACCACGCCUUCCAGCUUCGAGACUCCGUCUACAAAACGCUCAUGAUGAGGCCCGAUCUGGAGCUGCAGUUCAAAUGCUACCACCAUGAGGACCGGCAGAUGAACACCAACUGGCCAGCCUCGGUGCAGGUGAGCGUCAACGCCACGCCUUUGUCCAUCGAGCGCGGCGACAACAAGACCUCCCACAAGGCCUUGUACCUCAAGCAAGUGUGCCAGCCCGGCCGCAACACGGUCCAGAUCACCGUCACCGCCUGCUGCUGCUCCCAUUUGUUCGUGCUGCAGCUGGUCCAUCGGCCCUCCGUUAGGUCGGUGCUGCAAGGACUCAUGAAGAAGCGGCUGCUGCCCGCAGAGCACUGCAUCACUAAGAUCAAGAGAAACUUCAGCAGUGGCACCAUCCCCGGGACUCCCGGCCUAAACGGAGAGGACGGUGUGGAGCAAACGGCCAUCAAAGUGUCGCUCAAGUGUCCAAUCACUUUCCGGCGCAUCCAGCUGCCGGCACGAGGACACGACUGCCGCCACAUACAGUGUUUUGACCUGGAGUCGUACCUGCAGCUCAACUGUGAACGAGGAACGUGGAGGUGUCCCGUCUGCAAUAAGACGGCUCUGCUGGAGGGUCUGGAGGUAGACCAGUAUAUGCUGGGGAUCCUGGUCUAUAUACAGAAUUCCGAUUACGAGGAGAUCACCAUUGACCCGUUGUGCGGCUGGAGGCCGGUGCCGGUCAAGCCUGACCUGCACGUGAAGGAGGAAUCUGACGGGCCGGCGCUCAAACGUUGUCGCACCGUCAGCCCCAGUCACAUGCUGAUGCCCAACGUCAUGGAGAUGAUCGCCGCGCUGGGGCCCGCCUCCUCGCCGUACGCCAGUGCCGGGGCACCGGCUGGGGGCAACAGAGGCAGCCCAGACUACAACAGACCUGGGAGCCGAGGCUUUGCCAGCCAGUCGGGUUUCCCCGAAUUCCCUAACACUCCCGGCACGCCGACCCUGGGGGAGUACCCUUCCUCCGGCCCGCCGCUAUCUUACCAGCACGAGCAGUGCCGCCGAGAGCCAUUAAGCAAGCAUUCAUCCCCGUUUCGCGGCGCACCCUUCCCACAAUGCCUUGCUCCCGCAGCACGCCAACCAGAACCUCGGCGAGGAGAGGAGCGGGGCCGCUUCCCAUAAUGCACGGCUGCACGCCGAGGGCUCCUUCGGUCUGGGGGCCCCCCAGGGAGAGGCGGCCGAUCACUCGCUAGAUCUUCUGCCCGAGCUGACCAACCCGGAUGAGCUGUUGUCGUACUUGGGUCCGCCCGACCUGCCCAGCAACAGCAGCGACGACCUUUUGUCGCUCUUUGAGAACAACUGAGCGUCUCUCCCCGCCUUCCUCUUCCUCUUCAUCUUCUCCUUCUUUGUCAUCUUUGUCGUCGUCAUCUUUGUUUUGUCUUCGAUGUCGUCGUCUCCUCCCUCUCAAUUUGUCACUCGAAUCCGAAUUUUUCACGUAACAUUGGAAGACUGCGGCGUUCCCAGUCCAGAUUGCGCAGCACAACCAUUAUAUUACGAGUAGCAUUUUCCACUCGUAGUAACAUCUUUGGGCUGCUAAUAUACAUUGAAACCGUUGUAGUAACUAACCGCUGUCCUGCAGUAGUAACACUACUCGGUCCUUCGGGGACCACAGAAGAGGUGGCGGGUUACUCGCUGGAUGUGGACAAUUAAAUUUAAUUCAGUUUAGUUAAAAUAUCUUUUCACCAUGUUAAAUUGCGAAUAAUUCCUCACCCAAAAAUGUCCCUAAAGAGGUGUUCUCUUCCAUUCACACAUGUUUGAGCAGUUCCUGCUCUCAGCAUCGCCCAAUCUAAGAAAACGGUUAGCUCCUCAAUCCUGUAUAUAUAAGAUUAAGGAGCCCCCCCCCCCCCCCCCGUACCACUCCCGCUGAGUAAACACAUGCUCGCUUUCUCGAGCAGCCAGUGAGACGCCCGACAAGCGUCUCCGGCAGAGUCUUUAUGAGCAGCCACUUCAGCCGAGGCGCCCUACGCGGCGACUUUCUUACCAUUUCCUGCUUUGUGGGCCGGUUGAAGGACAAUGUUAAGAAAGGGGCGGGCAGCCACAUGGCGAGAGGCGGGGUUUCAGUGAGCCAGGCGACUGACUUCCGGGUUAGCAAAAUAGCCAUCACAAUAACUUUUAUCUCCUAAGAAAUUGGAUUGCCAUCGUGCCAAAGGUCAUCGAUAAUCUUCUGUGCCUCGAGUUAGCUGCGGAAAUCUUGAGGUCCAUGUACACUCUUUGUCAUCACAAGUAGGACAACUUUGGCUCAUUGGGAGGACAGCUGCAUGUUACUCGUGAGGCAAAACUGUUCACUAGUUCACAACUGGGAUAUCGCCGAUACUGACUCGGUGCUCCAAUGGCUUUCAAGGAUCUUUGAAAUGAAACAAAAUGCAAAAUGCUUUAGCUAAUGAAAAUUUUACGGUAACUACGUUAAUGUAGCACAAAUGUGUCAAAGUACUACACUGAAGUGCACCACUCUAAUAUUACUAGUAACAUGAGAAAAUUCUUCUCGUAACCAGCUAGAGCACAGGUGUCAAACUCAAAGCCCGGGGGCCAGAUGUGGCCCACCAGAUCAUUUUAUGUGGCCCACGAAAAGAAAUCAUAUGUGUCAAUUUGCAUGAUCCUUGCUAAAAUCUGUAACGAAAUGUCCAAUUGUGUGUCAGAAGUAGCUUGUCCUACCAUUGUACCAAAUUUGUUGCAUGAAAGCCGUAUGACAAUUUAUGACUUGAUAUCCAUCUUAAGGUUCACGUACUAGUAUGCAGUUUGUCCUCACAAGGGGAGCAACUUUGGCAUACUAGUUGGAUAACUACAUGCUUCUAGUAAGGCAAAAUUCUGCACCGGUUGACAAUUGCAGACGACAAGCACACCCAGUGACGUCACAUUUCCAUUUCUAAAUUCCGUACUAUAUACUGUAGAGUAGUGACAUCCAGCACUUCACUGGUUGUACUAGUCAAGUACAGAAGGUAAGUAGAGCACAGUUUGUCUCACGAGUAACAUGGAGUUGUCCUUCCAGUUAUUCAGCCUUGGUAGUACAUGGCCAAGGAAAAAAAAAAAGCUCAAACGGCUUCCCAUGUUGGAGGCGAACUUGUUGAACCGCUGAGACAACGCCCACAUUCCAUCAUUCCUGUUUGGCAAUGUCGCCUCAUGUGAAUAUUUCCCUAUUUUCAUCGCAUUACGUGUGCUCUUGUUCUUCUUCCUCCUGUUCAUUAUUGUCCGUGUUGAACCUCCCAAUCUAUUUUUUAUUCCCCUAACAGACACUUUGAGGUUCCCAAAACGGCAACAUAAAUGUUGGCUUUUAUUUGGGGUUUUAAAAAAAAAGUGACUAUUGAACUGCAAAUUUACUAGGAAACACGUUUUUAAGAUGUAAACUAUUGCACAUAUUUUGUAACACAUUUUAAUUGCCAUUGUUUUCUAUUUAUUUUAUAAUCAUUAUUAUCAUUGAUUGUACCUGCGAUUGCUUUGUUCAUUUGCUGGAGCUGGAAGAUGAGGAUUAAAACCACAUUAUUUCAACAAA